GACCGAACGCUGGCGGCAUGCCUAACCCAUGCAAGUCGAACGAGACCUUCGGGUCUAGUGGCGCACGGGUGCGUAACGCGUGGGAACCUGCCCUUAGGUUCGGAAUAACUCCCCGAAAGGGGUGCUAAUACCGGAUAAUGUCUUCGGACCAAAGAUUUAUCGCCUUUGGAUGGGCCCGCGUUGGAUUAGCUAGUUGGUAGGGUAAAAGCCUACCAAGGCGACGAUCCAUAGCUGGUCUGAGAGGAUGAUCAGCCACACUGGGACUGAGACACGGCCCAGACUCCUACGGGAGGCAGCAGUGGGGAAUAUUGGACAAUGGGCGAAAGCCUGAUCCAGCAAUGCCGCGUGAGUGAUGAAGGCCUUAGGGUUGUAAAGCUCUUUUACCCGGGAUGAUAAUGACAGUACCGGGAGAAUAAGCUCCGGCUAACUCCGUG
rnacentral:rRNA from 1 species